rnacentral:rRNA from 1 species
GAUGAACGCUGGCGGCGUGCCUAAUACAUGCAAGUCGAGCGAACAGACGAGGAGCUUGCUCCUCUGACGUUAGCGGCGGACGGGUGAGUAACACGUGGAUAACCUACCUAUAAGACUGGGAUAACUUCGGGAAACCGGAGCUAAUACCGGAUAACAUGUUGAACCGCAUGGUUCAACAGUGAAAGACGGUCUUGCUGUCACUUAUAGAUGGAUCCGCGCCGCAUUAGCUAGUUGGUAAGGUAACGGCUUACCAAGGCAACGAUGCGUAGCCGACCUGAGAGGGUGAUCGGCCACACUGGAACUGAGAAACGGUCCAGACUCCUACGGGAGGCAGAAGUAGGGAAUCUUCCGCAAUGGGCGAAAGCCUGACGGAGCAACGCCGCGUGAGUGAAGAAGGUCUUCGGAUCGUAAAACUCUGUUAUUAGGGAAGAACAAAUGUGUAAGUAACUAUGCACGUCUUGACGGUACCUAAUCAGAAAGCCACGGCUAACUACGUG